AUUGCCUUCUGGAGGCCUAGUCAAAAGGGAGAGAGGAUAUACUGAGAGGCCCUGAAUGAUUGAACUUUUCUUACCACUCUUUUGAGCUAUGAGACAGGCAGUGUGUUUAAAAAUAGACCUACAGCCCUCCUUCCUGUGUAGCGCUUUUCACAGCAAUUUGUUCUGAAGGAUGAAGUCAUGCUUGGAGCUUGCUGGUGACUAGAUGGGCUGUUUCCAACAGAGUGUGCAAAAGUACAGACUGCAAGCUAAAAAGAGAUGGCUGGGGGUUUGCAAGCCCCCAUACCCAAAGGCUAGCCGAAAAGAGGGAAGGGAUAGAUAAAUACUUAAAACGCUUUCAGAAAUGAGAAACAUGAAAGGAAGAUUUAUGGAUUUCUACAUUUGUGAAGCCAUCUGGAGAACUGGGGUUUGCGCAGAGUUUGGUUUUUGUUGGUUCAGGAUCUGGAGGUGUGUGUGUGUGUGUGUGUGUGUGUGUGUGUGUAUAUAUAUAUAUGGAUUUUGCAAAUGCAUCGAUCUUUCUGUGCUGCUUACUCUGUGGCUUGUGAGAAUUUAAACAUGAAAGAAGAAAAACAACAGGCCAAUCCCUUCAGGAUUUGUUAGUUACUCUAAGGGGUCCAGCUCUGAGAAAAUACCCCUAAAACAAUAUCUAUUCUCUUGUUAACUCAUAGGAGCACAAUGUCAUUCUUGUUGUGUUUGGACAGUUGGUGACCUUUGACUCCCCCAUUCCAGAAAAUUGCUUUCGGCUGAGAGAGAGGCUGCAAAGAGCUUUCAAGGCCUGGACUUUGGUUCAUGGUCUUGAGCAAGGCAAACCAUCCCUUUUCACCCGCCAGGUCUGUAUACUUUCAAAUCUAUAUAUAUAUCGCUCUGGCGAACGAGACAGAUCAAAAGGCCCCCCUCUUAAACAGGUUUCAAAAAUGCACAUCCGCAUUGCGGGAAAGGAGGACUGUAUGGAAAUCAAUAAUAUCACAUUCAAGCAGCCUCUGCGACUUUGACUUCAAAGUGACUCCCGACGUGUGUUCUCAAUUUCAAAAGAAAAUGGGGGCUAGAAAAGAGAGAAAUGGGCGCAAAUGCCUCUCUCCCCUCAGUUCUGUUUGUAAGCCAGCUGGGUUCUAGGGUGUCCCUUUACUGUUUUGUGAGGGAGACCCUGCUGGGCCGCAUCUUGGGGGCAGGUUUGUUAAUUGCCUGCACCUGUGACUAUCACCAAAGACAAGGUUGCCAGGAGUUGCAAACAGCCCACCGGCUCUUCCUGCUUUUGGAAUGCAAAUGAUUCUGACUUUUAUGAGGGAAGAGGCAAAGAACAAGUGCAGAAAGGGCAGCCAGCCUCCAGAGGUGUCUUUCGCUGUUUUGCUUCUUGUUUGCGUUGGAGCCUUAUAGCAAGAUCCUAAUUUUAAUGAGAUCCUCAUUUUUAUUUCUUUGGCCCUGGAUCUGACAAGUCAUACUCUUCAGUAGCUCCAUUGAAAUAAAUUGACUUAACGUCAUGCCAAACUUUUAAGUCCAUUCUUUUCUACUCUUAAGUUUUUAUUUUAUUUUAUUUAUUAGUUGAUUUUUCAGAUGGAAAAGAAGCUCAAAAAUGAACAUUAAAAGCAAUAGUAGAACAACCUAAAACACACAAAUGCUAUAUACUUAUUUAUUUAAAGAAGGGGCCCUGGUUGUUGUUUGUGCUAUCAAUUAAGAUGGCUGGCUGUUGUUAGAAGCUUUAGGUCUCAACUGUGUUUUCUAUUUUAAAAAACAGUUAAGUUCCAUUAAUAAGUAGCAGCGUCUGUUCAUAUUGGAAGCCUGAAGAUAUAUGUAUCUAACUCUCUAUUGGAGCAACUUCCAGACAUUUCCCUCUUUACCAGGCUGGAGCGCUUGUGGAAAGAAGCUGUAAGUGAAAGGUUGUCAAUAGCAGGACACAAUGGGACAUUUCAGAACUGCACACUCAUAGGGUUUCUCACUCGUUUCUUUCAGUGAGUGUGCAAUCUGUGUAUCCAAAUAGUUAAGCUGUACACUUAUACAUGUAAGAUUCAACAAGUGUAUCAUUGGUGUACUUGUAUACACAAUAGGUGAACUGUGCAAAUCAAUACGUAUGUACUCCUUCACACAAGCGCUUGUACAUAUGUAGAGACAGCUUUUAUUUCUGUUCGUUGUAAUGUAUGGACAAGCGGUAUGUGUCCCUUUGGCUUCGGCAUCCUCAUUCCAUACCUUGCUUUACCUGUGAAUGGGACAGGACUCCAUUUAAAGGAAUAUAAAUCUGCCACCACAACAUGAUUUUGGCCCAAGACCUCCUUUGUUACAACAAAUGGCUGUGCUGUGUGCCUACAGACCUGGAUCCUCAGGUCUUUUUUCAGAUGGUGUGAUGUACCCUCAGGGGCUAUCCAUCUACCACUGAACCACACAGAUAACAUCGCUGCAGAAACCACUUCUGCUUUGAGGGAAUUGUUUAUCAGCAACCACACAGAUAACCUGAGUUGUGGGUAAGCUGUGAUUCAGCAAGUGAAUGUUUUGCUGUGGAGAGGGCUUGGAUUGCUUGAUUGAUUUAGUGGACUUGUAUCCUGAUUCUCCUGAUAUCCCCAAAGUGGCUCACAGAUCAUGUGAACAGGCUGUGAGGGUUGUAUCCAACUUAGUCCUUCUCAGAGUAGGACCAUUGCGAUGGGAGGAAAAGCAGAAUACUAGCUGAGUAAUGACAACGUUGUGUGGCAGCAUGCCAAAAAAAAAAAAAGCUGGAGAAAAACAAUAGCAACUACAGUGGUACCUCGGGUUAAGAACUUAAUUCGUUCUGGAGGUCCGUUCUUAACCUGAAACUGUUCUUAACCUGAGGUACCACUUUAGCUAAUGGGGCCUCUCGCUGCCGCUGCGCCGCCACCGCACGGUUUCUGUUCUCAUCCUGAAGCAAAGUUCUUAACCUGAGGUAAUAUUUCUGGGUUAGCAGAGUCUAUAACCUGAAGCGUCUGUAACCCAAGGUACCACUGUAUGCCAUAAUAAGUGGUAAGAGCACAAAAGCCCUGACACUUAGCUGGGUACAAUCAUCACUCGGAUGCAUUUGCUAAACAAAACCCUGCACAAUCAGUGCUAAAAAUGGGUAGGAACAGAUACAGUAUGGGGUGUUCUUUUGGGGAAUUAACCCACAGCCACAAUUUACUUUCACCUCCGUUGAUAAGUGAAGGAAACUCAAAAUAAACGGAUGUAUAUCCCCAUCCCCUUUAUUCCAUAUGUAUAAAGUAAAACCUUCUUUCGAUUCAGUCUCCUCCAGGUGGCAAGACUAAUGAAAGCCAGCCCCUGAAGCAGUUCUCCCCCAGCUGCUGGAGCUAUCAAGUGAUCAGUGUCAUCCACAGGCAGAGGCCCCUCUGGCUUUCAAGAUGGGGUUUGCAUGACGAGUGCAAAGGAUACCUGCCCCAUGUGGGUAAUUUAUAAAGCUGAAAUGAAAGAAAACCUGAG